UAGGGAAUAUUAGAAAUGGACGAAAGUCUGAUCUAGCAACACCGCGUGUGCGAAGAAGGCCUUCGGGUUGUAAAGCUCUUUUCGGAAGGAUUAGGAAGGAAUGUACUUCCAGAAUAAGUCUCGGCUAACUACGUGCCAGCAGCCGCGGUAACACGUAGGAGGCAAACGUUAUCCGGAUUUACUGGGCGUAAAGCGCGUGUAGGAGGUUCUGUAAGUAGGGCGUGAAAGCUCCUGGCUCAACUGGGAGAGGCCGUUCUAAACUGCAGAGCUAGAGGAUGGUAGAGGGGGGUGGAAUUCCGGGUGUAGCGGUGGAAUGCGCAGAUAUCCGGAGGAACACCAGUGGCGAAAGCGGCCUCCUGGACCAUUCCUGACACUCAGACGCGAAAGCUAGGGGAGCAAACG
rnacentral:rRNA from 1 species